GACGAACGCUGGCGGCGUGCUUAACACAUGCAAGUCGAACGGAGUGGCGAACGGGUGAGUAACACGUGGGGACCUGCCUUGCACUUCGGGAAAAGCCUGGGAAACUGGGUCUAAUACCGGAUAGUGGGGGAUGGGCCCGCGGCCUAUCAGCUUGUUGGUGGGGUAAUGGCCUACCAGGGCGACGAUCCGUAACUGGUCUGAGAGGAUGAUCAGUGCCACUGGAACUUGGACACGGUCCAGGCUCCUACGGGAGGCAGCAUUGGGGAAUAUUGGGCAGUGGGCGGAAGCCUGAUCCAGCCAGGGCGCGUGUGUGAAGAAGGUCUUCGGAUUGUAAAGCACUUUAAGUUGGGAUGCGUUACCAACAGAAUAAGCACCGGCUAACUUCGUGCCAGCAGCCGCGGUAAUAC
rnacentral:rRNA from 1 species